UACGUAGGGUGCGAGCGUUGUCCGGAAUUAUUGGGCGUAAAGAGCUUGUAGGCGGUCUGUCGUGUCUGCUGUGAAAAUCCGGGGCUCAACCCCGGACUUGCAGUGGGUACGGGCAGACUAGAGUGUGGUAGGGGAGACUGGAAUUCCUGGUGUAGCGGUGAAAUGCGCAGAUAUCAGGAGGAACACCGAUGGCGAAGGCAGGUCUCUGGGCAACUACUGACGCUGAGAAGCGAAAGCAUGGGGAGCGAACAGG
rnacentral:rRNA from 1 species